UAAUUUCUAUUGAUCCAUCUUUGUUUUCUUUUGUUAUCUAUAUUAUACUGUUAAGCCCAUCAAAUGAGAUUUUUUUUUUAAAUUUCAGAUAGUCUUUUUCAGUUUUAAAAUUUCUAUUUGGUUUUGUUUGUUUGUUUGUUGUUUGAAGUUUCUGUUUCUCUACUGAGAAUUUCUAUUCAUUUAUUUUGUUCUUUUUUUUUUUUUUUUAAUUUUCCAUUAUGUUCUAACCCAGGAGAUUGAAUGCAGUCCCUGUACUGUAUAGCAGGACCCCAUCACCCAUCCAUUCUUAACGCAGCAGGCUGCAUCUACCAACCCAAACUCCCCAGCACCCCCUCCGCAAACACAAGUCUGUCCUCCAUGUCCAGGAUCUGUUUCUAUUUUGUAGAUAGAUAAUUUAUGCCAUAUUUUAGAUUCCACAUAUAAGUGAUAUCAUAUGGUAUUUGUCUUUCUCUUUCUGACUUACUUCACUUACUAUGAGAAUCUCUAGCUCCAUCUAUGUUGCUGCAAAUGGCAUUAUUUUGUUCUUUUUAAUGGCUGAAUAGUAUUCCAUUGUACCACAUCUUAAUCCAUCCGUCUGUCAUUCAUUUCAAAUGUUGUCUCUCUCAUGGAGCAUAGCUGUAGUAGCUACUUUAAAGUCUUUGAUCGUUUCAACAUUUAAGUCAUCUUGACAUUGGCCUCUGUUGGUUAUUUUUCCUUGAGAAUGGGUCACAUUUUCCUAUUUCUUUGGUUGUCAAGUAACUUCAGAUAGUAUCCUAAAUGUGUCAGGGUAACACUGCGUUAUUUCUGAGUGCUUCCAUCUUCCUCAGGAGAAUGUUGAUGUUUUUGCUUUAGCAGGCAAUCAACCAGUUUAGGCCCUGACUCUAAGUUCUUCUCACCUUUGUGGGCAGUGGUUUAAAUCUCAGUUCAGUUAUAUAAGCCUUUGCUCUGUUUGCUUUGGGUCUGUCUUGCACAUGUGUAGUUCAGGGGUUAGUGUGACACUAGGUAGGUGGUUCAUAUCUCAUAUAACUUCUCAAAGCCUUUGCUAUGUUGUUUUGAGUCUGUACCUUGCAUGCUUGGCUCAGAUGUUAGAUUGAGUGAAGGGUUCAUCUGCAGAAUUAGGGGACCCCUUUCUUUAGUUUUUUCCCCUCUGAGAGUUCUUCUACUCACUCUACCCCACAGGGUGAUCACUUCCUGGUACCUCUGGUUAGAAAGACAUGUUUUCUAUUGAAAUUUUAGCUGCCUGUAGCACAGGCUACUCUGAAACUAGAGCCUAUUCUUAGGAUAAUGCUGCAUGAGAAAAGAAAAAAAUGGAAAAUACACCCCUUCCCCCCAUUCCAUCUGCUUUUGUUUACUUUCACAGUUCUUUGGUAGUUUAUUUCUCCUCAUGUUUUUGUUAGAGUUUUUAGCUGUAAUUAUAGGAGGCAUCGGCUGCUAUGGCAGAGCCAGAAUCUACUGACCCACUUAUUUUUUUAAUAUGGAGAGAAUUCAAAGAUUCUAUGGACAGAAUUAAAAGAUGCAGCAGAGUCUCCAAGGAGAGCAGAUGAUAUGCUUCCCCCAAAUUCCCACCCCACUCCGAAAAACACACAAAGCUUUCUAUAUUUUAGUUUUUAAAUCUCCUGAAACAGUAAGUCAUUAAAAGCUAGGAAAUCCUUUACCAGUGGGUGUACUUAGAAUGAGUACAGCAGAUUUUAUUUACCUUUUUCUAGAUGCAGGCCUUUAAUUUGAAGCAUGGGGGGAGUUAUAUAAGUAUUUAUUUCUACAUGAUUCUUUCUUUUGGGGGUAGGAAAAAAAUAACGUCUAGGGAUAUGUAUAUUGCUUGAAAGGUAGUAUAAAAGUGCCUCUCAUUUCUCUGGGAGUCAUUUUGUUUAGUUUCAGACCUGUACUUUUAAUUAUUUAUCUGAUCAUAUCUCUGACUACAGUCUAAAUACAGAAUAUAAUUAUACUUUUGAAAAAUGGGUAUUUAUUCCUUGGCCCACAGUGGUUUUUUGGAGCUGCUACAAUCGAUCUGUUAAACAUAAGGGGAAGCAGCAUGAAGCCCAGAGCUUAUUCAGAGAAUUAUUUUAAUUUAAUUAUUGUUGCCCAGGUAAAUACCAGCUGCUUUGGAAUCAUUACAGCUGAAGGGGUCAGUGAAUAAUUUACCUUUAACUGUAACAGAGGAAUAUUUCAAGGUUACCAAGAUAGGAAAAGUGUCUUAAACAUCACAAAUUCAUCUAGCUGUUAUAUUUUAAAGGGAAUGCUAUGUACAGAUACCAGACUAUAGAGUUGUAGCCUGGAGAAUUUUGUUGGGAGAUUGAGAUUAAUGAUGGGCAACAUCAAAAUGAUCAGAGUAGAAACUCGUUUUCAGUAAACAAACCUAGAGUCUAUUUAUUUAUCCAAAUCUUAUGCAAAAUUUGUUAAAGCCUUGAACUGGCAAACUUGGGCAGGAAAUAUUGCAAAGGCAACUUUUCCCGGUAAGAUUGUCCUUUUAAAUUUAUAUUCUUAAGAGGAUGCUUCCCACAUUUCUGGCUUUCUCUGGGUUCUGGCAUUUUAUUCUGAAUAUUAGCCAGAACCAGGAAUUGCACAGGUCUAUUUUUAAAACUGAAGGGACCUUUUAAAAAUUGAAAACACUCCUUUAUUACUACAAACAUACUGUAUGUGUAUUAUAGACAGUUAAAAAUAAAAAUAAUAAGCAAAAAAUAAGAAUAUAAAAGUGCCAUUCUUAUGUCCAGAGAUUUUUCUUGCCAACCCUUCAUUGUAUAUCCUUUCAGACCCCUUUCUAAUUAUGCUUAUAUGUAUUUUUGUUCCUAGCAUGAAGUUAUACCUUAUUUGCAGUUUUUCUACUUGAUUUUUAAAAUCAAGGAUCUCUACCUUUCUAUGUACAACAAAUGCAUUUUCAUCUUAGCUAAUAAAUAAUACCCAGUUCACAUUCAUAUUUCCCGAACUGUCCAGAGGAACUUAAAAAAAUUUUUUUAAUUAAAUUCAAAGUCAAUCCUUGAUUACUAAGGAUAUUAUUCUAAAUAUUUGCCUGAAUCUGUCAGCUUCAGAGAAUUCCUGGGUGGUCUUUGGCAGGCCUGAUAGUUGGUAUUGACAAUCAUGUGGUUAAUCUGUCAUAUAGAUUAAUUGAUACUGAUCCCAGCCCUGGUGCUCUGGUGAAUUAAGAGACUAAAAUGAUUCCCAUUCUGUUAAGAAGUUCCUAAUAAACAUGAGAAAACAUAUAGGGUGAGAAAUAUAACAGUACUUGUAUUUGUAGCAUUUCACUUUCUUUUCUCCUACUUCAUGUGAUGCGCGAGUAUGGGUUAUCAUGGGAGCAAGUUAGAACCUUUAGAAAGGACCCAGGUAGUUGCUGCCCAUUAGUAUGUGUUCCAUAAAUGAAUUUUUUUUUGAGUUUUGUCCCUUAAAUGGUAUCCCAUGGCAGGAAAGAGUUACAGUUAUUCCCAAAGAGCCAAAAGUAGUCCAAGGGAGGAACAUUCUUUCUCUGGACUCUCAUCAGUUGAUGUUUAGAGGAAAGGAUUUAGGAGGCUGAAAAUAUGGCUCGUUGCCUAAGACACACAUAUUUUAUUCUUAAGAAACAAAUUUCUGGAAGAGAAGCACUAUAACCUUUAGAGAAAUGUGCCUAAUUUUCUUUUUAUCCUCACAUCCAGGUUUUUAAAUAUAAAAGUUUAAAACAUACACAUUAAAGAAAAUUAAAUAGAGAAAAAAGGCAAAUUAUCAUUGCUUUACCUUCCUGUGCAAUGACUAGCAAUUUUGAUAUGUUUCCUUGAGGUAUCGUUCCUAUGCAUAUGCCAUGGUUGAUAGUAACUAUGUAUUAAAUAUUGCUAUCAUAUACAUACUUCUAUAUAAGUACAUAUGCGUAUGUAAGUAUAUGUAAAUUUUCAUACACAUAUAAUAUGUACUUUUUAUUUUGUAUAUGCAUAUAAAUAUUUAAGUAUACAUUAUAUGUACUGUAUGUACAUAAACAUAUGUACUUAGCAAUAGUCAAGCAUUUUCCACUGACAACCGCAUUCUUUCUGAUCAGUAUUUGGUAAUGGUUACAUAAUACCUUAUUGCAGUAUUCAAUAAUUUAGCCUUUCCUCUCAAGGUGGAAAUAUAUUUUGUUCCUAUUCAGGAUCCAGCGUCUCCUGGCCCACCCACCUACCUUGCUUGAGACACUCUGUGGAGGGUUCUUCCUUUCCUUCCCCACCCGCUCUCAGGGCAUCGCUCCAGGAUCCACAUUCUAGAAUGUUCCCUCAAGGAGCCUGAUCCCAGGGGUCAAGCUUCAUUUUGGCUCUCUUGCUCUGCUCUCCACUGAUGGACUUGACAUUUUGAACUCUUCUUUCUUGUAAGUCUGCCUUGCCAGGAAGUUGGACUUAAGUUCUGUGUUCUUCGCUGCCUUUUCCCAACCCUGUCUGCAUCUUCCCAGCUAGUCUUGGGUUUAUAGCCUUCGGCCUGGGCCAGAGAGCUUGGCUUCAGCUCACCAUUGGAUAGGAAUCAGGGUGGCAGGGAAAGGUCACUGAAUCUCCGGUUUGUGCCUUUAUAAAUGAUGCUGGGAUGAGCAUUUUUGUUUUUUCAUAAAAUUUCCCCUCAUACUUAGGAUUAUUUUCUUAGGAUAGAAUCCCAGAAAUGGAAUUACUGAAUUUAAGAUUAUGACUAUUUUUAAAGCUCUUAAUAUUUAUCAUCAACUGAAUAUAGCUAAUAUUUAUUAACCAUUUCUGAGCCAUUAUCUCACUUAAUUCUCAGCCAGUUUUAUCCAUAUCUCCAUGAUGGAGGCAUAGAGGGGUAUAUGCAACAUGACAGUGUCUUAUUUUGAGCUGUCAUCGUGGCACCAUCAUUGUUUACUAUAAUUUAAAAGGCAGUAAUAGGCUUUGUUAAUGUGUUUACCUAAUUUUGUUUUCCUUUUCAUUCCUAAAUCUGUAUCAUAUGGAAGUUCUAGGCCAGGGGUUGAACUGGAGCUGCAGCUGAGGCCUACACCACAGCCAUAGCCACACUGGAUCCUUAACCCUCUGAACAGGGCCAGGGAUUGAACCCAUAUCCUCAUGGAGACCACAUCAGGUUCUUAACACUCUGAGCCACAACAGGAACUCUUACCUUGUUUUUUUGAGGGUGGUGGUGGUUACAGUAACAGGAAAGUUUCAC
rnacentral:lncRNA from 1 species